UUGUUGGUAAGGUAAAAGCUUACCAAGGCUUCGAUCAGUAGCUGGUCUGAGAGGACGAUCAGCUACACUGGGACUGAGACACGGCCCAGACUCCUACGGGAGGCAGCAGUGGGGAAUUUUGGACAAUGGGGGCAACCCUGAUCCAGCCAUGCCGCGUGAGUGAAGAAGGCCUUCGGGUUGUAAAGCUCUUUCAGCCGGAACGAAACGGUUACGGAUAACACCCGUGACUACUGACGGUACCGGAAGAAGAAGCACCGGCUAACUACGUGCCAGCAGCCGCGGUAAUACGUAGGGUGCGAGCGUUAAUCGGAAUUACUGGGCGUAAAGCGUGCGCAGGUGGUUUUGUAAGUCAGAUGUGAAAGCCCCGGGCUCAACCUGGGAACUGCGUUUGAAACUACAAGACUAGAGUGUGGCAGAGGGGGGUGGAAUUCCGCGUGUAGCAGUGAAAUGCGUAGAGAUGUGGAGGAACACCGAUGGCGAAGGCAGCCCCCUGGGUCAACACUGACGCUCAGGCACGAAAGCAUGGGGAGCAAACAGGAUUAGAUACCCUGGUAGUCCAUGCCCUAAACGAUGUCAACUAGUUGUCGGGCCUUUACGGGCUUGGUAACGUAGCUAACGCGUGAAGUUGACCGCCUGGGGAGUACGAUCGCAAGAUUAAAACUCAAAUGAAUUGACGGGGACCCGCACAAGCGGUGGAUUAUGUGGAUUAAUUCGAUGCAACGCGAAAAACCUUACCUACCCUUGACAUGUAUCGAAGCCCGCAGAAAAGCGGGGGUGCCCGAAAGGGAACGAUAACACAGGUGCUGCAUGGCUGUCGUCAGCUCGUGUCGUGAGAUGUUGGGUUAAGUCCCGCAACGAGCGCAACCCUUGUCAUUAAUUGCCAUCAUUUAGUUGGGCACUUUAAUGAGACUGCCGG
rnacentral:rRNA from 1 species